GAUGAACGCUGGCGGCGUGCCUAAUACAUGCAAGUCGAGCGAAGCGGGGAAGGGUGAGUAACACGUGGAUAACCUCCUAUAAGACUGGGCUAACUUCGGGAAAACGGAGCUAAACCGGAUCCUUAUAGAUGGAUCCGCGCUGCAUUAGCUAGUUGGUAAGGUAACGGCUUACCAAGGCCACGAUGCAGAGCCGACCGGAGAGGUUGAUCGGCCACACUGGAACUGAGACACGGUACAGACUCCUACGGGAGGCAGCAGGAGGGAAUCGUCCGCAAUGGGCGAAAGCCUGACGGAGCAACGCCGCGUGAGUGAUGAAGGUCUUCGGAUCGUAAAACUCUGUUAUUAGGGAAGCGGUACCUAAUCAGAAAGCCACGGCUAACUACGUGCCAGCAGCCGCGGUAAUUC
rnacentral:rRNA from 1 species